rnacentral:lncRNA from 10 species
GGCUGGAGCUCCCUUUCCCAACGUGUGCUCUCCUUGGGUCAAUAGUGAGAUUGUUAUGAGAGCGAAACCCGAGCCAGGUAAUGUGUGCAGGAUCUGUGGCUUUAUUGUGUCCCUGCUAUGUUAAUUAGUAUUAGGAGCAUGAUGGAUUGGCAACACGUGUGCGCUCUGAGUCUUAAACCAGCCCUGAGAGUUUAGCACUCCAUUAGUUACACAUCACAGAAACCCAGGGGAUGUUUACUCAAAAAGAGGAUCACUUACAGGAGGGAAACAUGCUAAUUCACUCCCGAUACUGUCUGGGGAGAGGGACACCCCAUCCACCAGUGAGUAGUGUAACCCGUGAUCCAAGACAGAGCUGGAAUUAGAAGCUGGCGGGAAACUACAGAAAACCCCGGCCCCCAGCCUGGGAACCCUGAAAUCUCAAAUCCUCAGUUGUUCCUACAUGAAUCCCUCUGAGACAGAAGUUCAGAGAAGGCUCUGUGUUGACAUUUCAAUUCAUUACCCCGUUCCAGAAGCAAGGAACCCUCUCCCACACCCGUGCCAGGCCACAGAGAAGGGAAUUCCUACUCUGCUGUCCUUCUCACCAAAUUUUCCAGCAGCUGUUGCCUCUCAGGCCUGGACCAGCUGUAUCUACCCCCACUCCAUCACAAAGGGUAGUGCCUUGUUGCCUUGUUAUCUGCAAAGUCUGUCUUCCUUCUCUCCCUUCUUCUCUCUUUUUUUUUUUUUUUUUUUUUGAGACAGAGUGGCUGGAGUGCAGUGUUUCAAUCUCGGCUCACUGCAACC